UGUGAUGAACCGUCACACCGCUACGAGCCGAAAAGUCACUCUCUAGCAAGCAUCAAUUCCAAUUAUGGCGAAUUCCGAUGACUGCGAUUUCUUCAUGUGGGCCGAAGAUCUUAGAUUGAUGCUUCACAAUGGUUCGGGCCACUGUAUUUUGUUACACUAAUUCAGGAUCUCAGGCGUCAUCGAUUGAUUCAUCUUGGCGGCAGAAGCUCAAUAAGCACUAGAAAAGGAAUUAGCACAAACACUUUCAUGACAAUGAGCUUUGGGUUCCUUUUCUCACUUCAUGGCAAUGAGGCUAACACACUUGGAGCAACUUUGAAGGUGCUUCCUCUGUUUUCACAUCAUUGACUAACGCAAAGAGUUUUCUUCACACUCACUGGCAUGUCUUUAAGUUAGACUUACGUAUCUUUAUUUUGGUUCAAGUGUUGCACCGACAUGAGCUGACUUCUUGACAUGCUACCCCUAGAUACUUAAGUAAUUUCGAGGGAAUCUCUCAUAACUCUUCUGAAGAGGCCAAGAUUAGAGAAGCUGCACAUUAGCUUCUUCUUCUUUCAAUCUCAAGAAUGGUGUCUUUUUAUGGGUAUCUUAACCUGUUUUUUCUUUGGUGUGUGUUUUUUCCUUAUGGGUUAUUCUUGAAUGCCAGCUUAGAGCCCAUGUUUUGACUUCUUUGUUUUGUGUUUUUGUGAGAUGUGGUGAUGGAGACUCAAAUUCUACAAGCAUGAUUGGAUCAGUGGUUUCAAAUUAAAGCUGGAUUUAAUAAAUCCGAUUUAUGAUUCUGGCAGCAACAACAUACAUAUUCUUUGCAUCCACGAUUCAUGUAAUUACAUUUGAAGAACAGUUGGAGAAAGAUACUGAUGGGAAGAUCACAACAGUUCAAACUUUAGUGUCAACAGCAUUGUCUGGAGUGAUACACUCCACUAUUGGAAGGACAGCCAUUGUUGAUUCUUGGUGCUGCAGAGCCUACUGUUACAAUGUACACUUACAUUUCAAUUUCGCCAAGGGCAGACAUGAUUUGGUAUCAAAGUUAAGCAUUAUCAUCACAAUCUUUGUUACAAACUCAAUAAAAUUAUGAACUCCCGAUAAAAUUUAAUUCUCGUGUAGCUGAUCAAAAUAAGAAACAAUAUUUUG